rnacentral:rRNA from 1 species
UACGUAGGGGGCUAGCGUUGUCCGGAAUCAUUGGGCGUAAAGCGCGCAUAGGCGGCCCGGUAAGUCCGCUGUAAAAGUCAAAGGCUCAACCUUUGAAUGUCAGUGGAUACUGCCGGGCUAGAGUCCGGAAGAGGCGAGUGGAACUCCUGGUGUAGCGGUGGAAUGCGCAGAUAUCAGGAAGAACACCGACGGCGAAGGCAGCUCGCUGGGACGGUACUGACGCUGAGGCGCGAAAGCGUGGGGAGCGAACAGG